rnacentral:rRNA from 1 species
UACAGAGGUCUCAAGCGUUGUUCGGAUUCAUUGGGCGUAAAGGGUGCGUAGGUGGCGUGGUAAGUCGGGUGUGAAAUUUCGGAGCUUAACUCCGAAACUGCAUUCGAUACUGCCGUGCUUGAGGACUGGAGAGGAGACUGGAAUUUACGGUGUAGCAGUGAAAUGCGUAGAUAUCGUAAGGAAGACCAGUGGCGAAGGCGGGUCGUCUGGACAGUUCCUGACACUGAGGCACGAAGGCCAGGGGAGCAAACGGG